CUAGUUGGUGAGGUAAUGGCUCACCAAGGCAACGAUCAGUAUCCGGUCUGAGAGGACGGUCGGACACACUGGAACUGAGACACGGUCCAGACUCCUACGGGAGGCAGCAGUGGGGAAUUUUUGGCAAUGGGGGCAACCCUGACCAA
rnacentral:rRNA from 1 species